UGCAAGUCGAGGGGUAUAUGUCUUCGGAUAUAGAGACCGGCGCACGGGUGCGUAACGCGUAUGCAAUCUACCUUUUACAGAGGGAUAGCCCAGAGAAAUUUGGAUUAAUACCUCAUAGUAUAGCUCUACCGCAUGGUAGUACUAUUAAAGUCACAACGGUAAAAGAUGAGCAUGCGUCCCAUUAGCUAGUUGGUAAGGUAACGGCUUACCAAGGCAACGAUGGGUAGGGGUCCUGAGAGGGAGAUCCCCCACACUGGUACUGAGACACGGACCAGACUCCUACGGGAGGCAGCAGUGAGGAAUAUUGGACAAUGGGCGCAAGCCUGAUCCAGCCAUGCCGCGUGCAGGAUGACGGUCCUAUGGAUUGUAAACUGCUUUUGUACGAGAAGAAACACUGCUUCGUGAAGCAGCUUGACGGUAUCGUAAGAAUAAGGAUCGGCUAACUCCGUGCCAGCAGCCGCGGUAAUACGGAGGAUCCAAGCGUUAUCCGGAAUCAUUGGGUUUAAAGGGUCCGUAGGCGGUUUAGUAAGUCAGUGGUGAAAGCCCAUCGCUCAACGGUGGAACGGCCAUUGAUACUGCUGAACUUGAAUUAUUAGGAAGUAACUAGAAUAUGUAGUGUAGCGGUGAAAUGCUUAGAGAUUACAUGGAAUACCAAUUGCGAAGGCAGGUUACUACUAAUUGAUUGACGCUGAUGGAC
rnacentral:rRNA from 1 species